CUUUUGCCUUUUUUAUGCUCUGUUUUAGCAAGUGCGUUGAAGAUUUAAAUAUGUGCCUUUUGCUCACCCCUCUCCAGGUUGCAUUAUUUUCUGACAGUGCUCCCACACCUGCAAGAUAUCCUCUUCUCCCACAUGCUAACAUUAAGGAGGUUCGACAGAGAACAUGUGCGCUCCCAGGGAGCACUAAGCACUUGCUCCCCGUGGAGUGGCCAGCUCCCUAGCAGACCUCUCUGCCUCUGCUCUCUCCAGAUGGCUCUCCUUCUGUAGCUGUAACUGCAGUCCCCAUGGACGUGAUCUUAUUUGGAAUGAGGGUUUCUGCAGAUACAAGCAAGAGAAGGUGAGAUCUUGCUGGAGAAGGGACGGCCCCCUCCAAAGAGGACUGUGUCCUUAGAGACAGAGGGAGAAGGCUGUGGGAGACAGGGAGAGACUGGAACAGUCUCUGCAGCUACAGCGCAGAGCAACCAGAACUGCUAGCAUCACCUGAAGCUGGGAGAGGCAGGAAAGUUUGCAUCCGUUGAUUUCAGAGGGAGGUGGCCCUGGAGGCCCUGACAUCAGCAUCCAGCCUACAGAUCUGUGCAACCACCACUUUCUGUUCAAAGCAACCAUUUGGGAGUAUGUCGUUUCCCGUAUCCCCAGAGAAUGAACACAGGGUACAGUGGGGUUGAAGCCAAAGAACCCAGGCCUUGAAUUCAGACCUGGAUCUGAAUCACAGUUGGACUGCCUGCUAGUCAAUGAUCUGUGGCUACUUCCUCCCUGAGCCUCAUCCCUUUCUUGAAACAUAAGUAGCCAUGAGAGAGGAGUCAGGAGACUUACCUUGCAAUGAACUUUUGCAAGAAUGCAGGGAAUUAAGGUUUGUGUAUCAAUGAGUCAUAUUUUACAAGAAGGAAGAAAAACUCAAGGUGACUCAGUAGAAAUGGGACCUCAGUGUCAGACCUGUGAAAUUUCUUGCAGAACCCAAGUGGGAAGGCGGCAUGGCCCAGGGCCCAGCACAGCCAGUGCCCUCCUGCUAAUGGCUGAUACGCCCCCUCCAGCGGGUGGCCAGGACCAGCAUCUGACCAGCACGUCCUCCUUCUUCUGUGGCCCACGCUUCCAAACAUUGCCUCUGAGGCUUCAGAGGCUAGAAGGAACGAAUCUGAACCUUCCUCAACCUCCAAAUCCUAAAGCCCAAUGGACAGGAUUUGAAGACCUGUGUUGUGCCGGGGACCAGGGUUGUACAUUUCCAAACACGUCAAGAAAGGGAUGUGUCUAUUGAAAGUCACAGGAUGCAAUUUGCAAAAUUCCUUGGAGAAGGGUGACAAAGGACAGUAGUGCUAUCUUCCACAUCCCAUCCUGUUGGGGACAUUCCUUCUCUCAGUCUCACUCCCCUCACCUCUCCGACUGCCCUUCCUUCUGUGCUCCAGCCAGCUCCCCUGAGUUCCAGCCCUUACCAGGAUCUCUGUCUACACCGAAUCCUCCUUUUGUAAACUCCUGUUACCCCUUUCACGGUUUUCUGUGGUUCGGUCCUUGCCUUCUGGUUGGUCCUUGGCCUCCAUCCUCUGAUACCUGAGGACAAGCAGCAGGCUUUGUGGUGCUGGCUGAUCCCUGUGCCAUUUAGCAUGUGGGCCUGGGGGUUAGCACAGCCUGGCUCUGUCACCACCUGCUCAGCUCUAGGGAUGUUUCUGUCCCCUGCAGCGGGAGAGGCUCCACAGUGUGUAUGACCAGAGCCCUCAGUCAGCAGGCCAAAGUUACACAGUGGCAUUGCUGCUUGAGGUCUGAGGGCGGUCUCUCCCAAACGCCUCCUGGGUAACUGAUUCAGAGUACUCCCCAUUUCAGUUCCAGGCUGCUGGAGCGUCUGCCUCCCUCAGCGCCAGGUCCUGAGAAGGGCUACUCCUGCUGGCCUUGGGCAGGAGCUCUCCACCCUGUCCUGGCUUAGCCACACUCAGGAGCCUGGCAGGCUGGGGUGCUGCCCUGGGCCAACAUGGGCCUUGGGUGGAACCAGGAGGUGUGGGAGGAGAGGGGCACCACUAGCAGCAGGUUAGAACCUCUAUCUGGAGAAGACGAAGUCGCCUGGGAAAGAAGUGUCUCAAGCGAAAGGGGAAAGACCAGGACAAAGCAAAGCAAGUGACUGCAGCAGAAGCCAAGUGAUGCACACAAUAUCAGAAUUGGGACUCUCCAUCUGUCCAUGAUUCUGCUGGCUCCCAGCACCCACUGCACCUUGCCCUGGCUGCUUCCUCCUCCAACAUGAAGCCUGCCUGUGCCAUGGGUCACUUUAACCUCCAGCCUGGAGCAAAUUCUGGCAUCCAGGCCACAAUUGCUGAUUAAACAAACCUGUAGAAAAA